ACGAGAAGGGUUGCUUGCAAUCCUGAGUAGAGUGGCGCACGGGUGAGUAACACGUAGAUAAUCUGCCUUCAAGCCUGGGAUAACUAUUCGAAAGGGUAGCUAAUACCGGAUAAAGUCGAUUCAUAUAAGUAAAUUGAUGAAAGAUUGCCUCUUCUUGAAAGCAAUUGUUUGGAGAUGAGCCCGCGUCCCAUUAGCUUGUUGGUGGGGUAAUGGCCUACCAAGGCAACGAUGGGUAGCUGGUCUGAGAGGAUGAUCAGCCACACUGGAACUGACACACGGUCCAGACUCCUACGGGAGGCAGCAGUGAGGAAUUUUGCGCAAUGGGGGAAACCCUGACGCAGCAACGCCGCGUGAGUGAUGAAGGCUUUCGGGUCGUAAAGCUCUGUCAAGUGGGAAGAACUCCCGUGAGGUUAAUACCCUCAUGGUUUGACGGUACCACUGAAGGAAGCACCGGCUAACUCCGUGCCAGCAGCCGCGGUAAUACGGGGGGUGCAAGCGUUAUUCGGAAUCACUGGGCGUAAAGAGCGCGUAGGCGGUCUCUUAAGUCAGAUGUGAAAGCCCGGGGCUCAACCCCGGAAGUGCAUUUGAAACGAAGGGGACUUGAGUAUGGGAGAGGGAAGUGGAAUUCCUGGUGUAGCGGUGAAAUGCGUAGAUAUCAGGAGGAACACCGGUGGCGAUGGCGACUUCCUGGACCGAUACUGACGCUGAGGCGCGAAGGCGACGAGAAGGGACGAGAAGGGACGAGAAGGGACGAGAAGGGACGAGAAGGGAA
rnacentral:rRNA from 1 species